CAGCGUCAUGGCGGCGGCUGGGACGGAGGAGGAGGAGACGGCGGCCCCCCGUCGGCCUGGCCUCGCCUGCCCGGGCCUUCUCCUCAGGCCUCCGCCUCCCUUCACAGCGCCGCGGACACAGCCCGGCCGCCGCCUAAUCUCGCGAGCGACGGCCGCCGCGCCCAAUGGGGAGGCGGGGGGAGGCGGGCCGGCGGUCCCGCGCCGACUCCCCAUUGGACGCGCGGCCUGGCCAAUCGCCGAGCGAGUCCCCUCAGGCGGGAGGCGGGGUUCGUCGCCGCCCGCGCCGAGCGGAUUGGCCGCCGCCCUCGAUCUGGCCAAUCCAAGGAUGGCGGAGGCGGAGUCGGAAUCAAUAGCGUCGGCACAGUGGCGGUUGCGGCAAGCUGGGGGUGAAGGGAUUGUAGUCCCAACAACAUCUAAGGAUCCAAAGUCUGGAACUUUGCAGGGGAGUAGAGGAGUUGGUUUCCAGACCCCUCCCCUUCUUAGUUACCCCUCCUCUGAACCCUGUCCUGCACUGUCCUGGAUCAGGUCAAAAGUCCAUCAAGCAAGCUCAGCAGUCUGUUUCCAACAGCGGCUGACCAGUCCCAUGGAGGUCAUGAAGAUAGCUCUCCCCUGCUGUUACACACACACAGCUGGUUUCCAGAGGUAUAUUGAAUAUAAAGGUAAAGUUGUGUAGUUGAGUUGGUGUCGACUCCUGGUGACCACAGAGCCCUGUUGUCUUUGGUAGAAUACAAGAGGGGGUUGCCAUUGCCAUCUCCCGCGCAGUAUGAGAUGGUGCCUUUCAGCAUCUUCCUAUAUCGCUGCUGCCCGAUAUAGGUGUUUCCCAUAGUCUGGGAAACACACCAGCGGAGAUUUGAACCGGCAACCUCUUGCUCCCUAGGCUUCCCCGCUGCGCCAUUAGGUGGUUUAUAUUGAACAUAGCCAUUACUAAUAGCUAGAAAUAGGUGUUUCCUCCUCCAUGACUUUGUCCUAUCCCAUUUUAAAGCUCUCUAACCUACUGUCCAUCACCACAUCUUGUGCCAGGGAGUUCCGCUAGUUAAUUAUGCACCAUAUCAAGAAGCACCUCCUUUUGUCUGUCCGGAAUCUGCUGCUAAACGUUUUAUCGGCUGUAUGAUGAGAAAGGGAGAAACCCUUCUUUGGAGUUGUACCCCAACAUCUGGGGUCCCAUGUUUGGGAAUCUCUGAUCUAUAGAAUCCCAAGCCAUGGCUGAGGUGAGGUCUGCAGUACUCUUCUGGCUCACAGCUUCCACUCUAAAUUACACUGUUCCUUGUGCGAUAUUCUCAUCUACUGUGAAAGUUCGUCUUGGCUGCUAUUAUGAUUUCACAUUUAGAAAGCUGGCCACACCUUUUAAAAAAAUUUCACAAUGCUCUGGAAUUGGAUGCAUAAAUGUUUUCAAAUAUGUAUGCCAACAGUCUGCUCCUUACCAACUGAAAACCCCUUUUAAAAUAUCCACAUCUUCUUCUCCUAUAACUGUCUCUCCAGGCAGUAAAUUUUGCUGAAUGUGCUUGUGAAGAAUUCACUUGCUUUAGUUUGGUUUGUAUAGAACUGUGGGUGUUUAGUUACAAUGAGAGCUGACCUCUCUGUGCACUGAGACAGUUGGAUUAUGAACAAGAAAGAGUCUGUUUCCUUGGCUGGCAGGUUCUACCACAAUUUGCAGGAAGGAGCUUGACUUCCACGGCAGUUUGGUGGCAUCCAAGAACUGUCCAGUGAGAAGGGUCCAUCUGAGAUUGUUAGCACUCAAUAGUCAGAUCAAUAAUUCCAAAAGGACAUCAUGCCCAAGAGAAGCAGAAGAUCUUUCUCAGAUUGAAAUGUAUUAUGAUUCAAACUUACUAUUUUAAUAUUUAAUUCUCUAAGACAUACCUUUCGCUAAUCCCAUGUGUGGCAGCUCUUGCAAGAGUUCGGAGAGCUGCCAGAUAGCCACGGGAUGGGUGGGGGGAAAAUGGCAGCAGUUAACAACA